AGUGGCGGACGGGUGAGUAACACGUGGGAACGUGCCCUUUGGUACGGAAUAACUCAGGGAAACUUGAGCUAAUACCGUAUGUGCCCUUCGGGGGAAAGAUUUAUCGCCAUUGGAGCGGCCCGCGUCUGAUUAGCUAGUUGGUGAGGUAAUGGCUCACCAAGGCUACGAUCAGUAGCUGGUCUGAGAGGAUGACCAGCCACAUUGGGACUGAGACACGGCCCAAACUCCUACGGGAGGCAGCAGUGGGGAAUCUUGCGCAAUGGGCGAAAGCCUGACGCAGCCAUGCCGCGUGGAUGAUGAAGGUCUUAGGAUUGUAAAAUCCUUUCACCGGGGACGAUAAUGACGGUACCCGGAGAAGAAGCCCCGGCUAACUUCGUGCCAGCAGCCGCGGUAAUACGAAGGGGGCUAGCGUUGCUCGGAAUUACUGGGCGUAAAGGGCGCGUAGGCGGACAUUUAAGUCGGGGGUGAAAUCCCAGGGCUCAACCCUGGAACUGCCUUCGAUACUGGAUGUCUUGAGUGCGGGAGAGGUGUGUGGAACUCCGAGUGUAGAGGUGAAAUUCGUAGAUAUUCGGAAGAACACCAGUGGCGAAGGCGACACACUGGCCCGUUACUGACGCUGAGGCGCGAAAGCGUGGGGAGCAAACAGGAUUAGACACCCUGGUAGUCCACGCCGUAAACGAUGAUUGCUAGUUGUCGGAG
rnacentral:rRNA from 1 species